rnacentral:tRNA from 1 species
GCCUGGGUGGCUCAGUCAGUUAAGCGUCUGACUUCAGCUCAGGUCAUGAUCUCAAGGUUCUCAUGGGUUCGAGCCCUGCCUCAGGCU